CGUCCAUGGCUUGAAGCCCCAGUUCUUUCACUGGAACCACGCCAGAGGCGGCUCUCUGAGGAAGAUUUCGUUGGAGGCCAAUCACUUCUUCCUCCCUCGCCGCCUCACGCUCCGCGCCUCCCUCCCGCUAACCGCCUCUCUUCCCUAACCCUCUUCUCGAUUAGGGUUUCUCCUGAGCAAGAGUGGGUUCGGUGAAGUGAUUCAGAACAUAUAAAGCGAGGGAUGGCGCUGUGUUGUUCAUCCGGUGAAGGCUACCUUGGAAACAAUCUUGUCAGUUGCCGAAGCAGAAAUGUGGAUUUCGAGGUUAAGGGAUCGAGAUUUAAUCUCAGACCCACACCUGAGCGCUGUUUAUUCUCGAAAGUCACUGUCUUGGUCACUGCUUUUAGAGCUGGAAAAGGUAACCUUUGCUGUGGGAAGAGGAAGCUUAACGCUGGGAUCAGAUCUGAGUUGCAGCCUUCCGCUGAAGUAAACUCUGGGCAUUUGGAUCUCAGUAGUUUAAAAGAGUGCGGUGAUGUAUCUGUCAAAAAGGUUUCGGGGAACAUCGAGUCCGACGAUCGUGUAGACCUUGAUCAUGGAAGUGGCAGUACGGAUUUCCCCAAUGGAUCCGGUGGUAACGGGAAAUUUCCACCUGGAGGAGGUGGAGGCGAUGAUGGCGACAAUAGUGAUGACUACAAAGAAGGAGAGUUUGGGCCAUUGCUGAAGUACGAGGAGGUGAUUAAAGAAGUAGAGGCUCGUGGUGCACGUCUUCCUUCUGACAUGUUAGAGGCUGCAAAAGCAAGUGGGAUACAGAAACUCCUCCUAUACAGAUACUUGGAUUUACAGGCAUCAGCUUGGCCUAUUGGUGUUGCAAUGAAGUCGUGUGCAAUCUUCCGCAACCGGAUGCUUGCUGACCCAUCUUUCCUCUUUAAAGUUGGAACUGAGAUAAUUAUUGACUCGUGCUGUGCAACUUUUGCGGAAGUCCAAAAGAGGGGCAAAGAUUUCUGGGCAGAAUUUGAGUUGUAUGCUGCAGAUCUUUUGGUAGGUGUAGUUGUUAAUGUAGCUUUAGUGGGUAUGUUAGCACCAUAUGUGCGAUUUGGACAGACAUCUACUUCAAACAGUUUACUGGGUCGUGUUGCACGUGCUUAUGGAGCUCUUCCUAGCAGUGUAUUUGAAGCUGAAAGACCAGGAUGCAAAUUUUCAAUCCAACAGCGAGUUGCGACUUAUUUUUAUAAGGGCUUAUUAUAUGGUUCAGUUGGAUUUGCAUGUGGCCUCAUAGGGCAAGGAAUUGCAAACUUCAUUAUGACCGCAAAAAGGACUGUAAAGAAAACAGAAGAAGAUAUUCCAGUUCCACCGCUGAUUGAAAGUGCUGCUCUCUGGGGUGUGUUCCUUGCGGUUUCUUCGAAUACUCGCUACCAGAUCAUAAAUGGCCUAGAACGCCUGGUUGAGGCUUCAUCUUUAGCGAAGCAAAGCCCACCCAUCACAAUGGCUUUCACAGUCGGUGUUCGCUUCGCCAACAAUAUUUACGGGGGAAUGCAAUUUGUUGACUGGGCCAGGUGGAGCGGCGUCCAGUAAGGCAAUGUGUUUUGUACGUACCAUUUGUUGUUCCCUUGAUUGCUUCGAUUAGAUAGGGAUCGUCAAUGACCAAAGUGCAAUCAGAAUGAGCAAUCAAACGUCCAUCCCUGCUGGUUUUAUUAAAACCAAAGUGUUCCAAACUUUUCGUUGAAAGUUCUCUGCAAUUUGAGCUAUUGUUUUUCUUGCCUCAGAACGGAGCAGAGUCGAAUAAAUACUGAGCCAUAUUUAAGCUGUAACAAGGACAGGCAAAGGUGUUUGUUCUUGAUGUGCAACUCAUUGUUAUCAGAUGAUUCCCGCAAUUGAUUGUUGGUGUAGGAUG